rnacentral:rRNA from 1 species
AUUGAACGCUGGCGGCAUGCUUUACACAUGCAAGUCGAACGGUAACAGGCCGCAAGGUGCUGACGAGUGGCGAACGGGUGGGUAAUGCAUCGGAACGUGACCAGUCGUGGGGGAUAACGCAGCGAAAGCUGCGCUAAUACCGCAUACGAUCUAUGGAUGAAAGCGGGGGACCGUAAGGCCUCGCGCGAUUGGAGCGGCAGAUGUCAGACUAGGUAGUUGGUGGGGUAAAGGCUCACCAAGCCAACGAUCUGUAGCUGGUCUGAGAGGACGACCAGCCACACUGGGACUGAGACACGGCCCAGACUCCUACGGGAGGCAGCAGUGGGGAAUUUUGGACAAUGGGCGCAAGCCUGAUCCAGCAAUGCCGCGUGCAGGAAGAAGGCCUUCGGGUUGUAAACUGCUUUUGUACGGAACGAAACGGUCCUGGUUAAUACCUGGGGCUAAUGACGGUACCGUAAGAAUAAGCACCGGCUAACUACGUGCCAGCCGCCGCCGUAA